UACGUAGGUGGCAAGCGUUGUCCGGAAUUACUGGGUGUAAAGCGCGUGUAGGCGGCAGGCCAAGUCUGCGGUGAAAGCGCCCGGCUCAACUGGGCGAGGUCCGUGGAAACUGGUCAGCUGGAGGACGGUAGAGGCGAGUGGAAUUCCCGGUGUAGUGGUGAAAUGCGUAGAGAUCGGGAGGAACACCUGUGGCGAAGGCGGCUCGCUGGGCCGGUCCUGACGCUGAGACGCGAAGGCGUGGGGAGCGAACAGG
rnacentral:rRNA from 1 species